UGGGCAGGGAUUGUGUGUAUCGGCAUAGUGCUACAAAUAAAUGCGCUGUCACCGAAAGAGUUCCCUGCUAAAGAAAAAUCAGCUGAGGGAGAUGGGCAGUUGUGCUUCAUCUGACUUGUUGGGAGUUUCAAUAAUCAUCUUCCUCAUAUUA